CUAGAAUAUAAAACCUAAAAGAAAUAUGAACAAGUCCAAUGAUCCAGUUCCAUGUGCUAAACAUUUAACAUGAAAGGUUGGUGUGUAGAGAAAAAAAAAAAAAAAAUCUUCUCACAACUGCUGUAGUUUGUGAAUUUGGAGUCUCCUCUGACAGAACAACAUUGACAACAUUCUUGUGUAGUUUUCUUUAGCAAGGUUAGAGCACUUCUUCUGUGUCUUCAAAAUGCUAGAUGUUUUCAAUGGCCUGCUUUCUUGAGUUUAGCCUACCUCUCAAAUGCUGUACUGAAUAGAAAUCUGAAAACUGGAAUGGCCAGUCAGCGGCAUUGAUUUGUGUUCACCUAGCAAUGUUUUUAUAGAUCAAGGUUCUUUAUACAUACAUUCUCCUCAAUUCUUGUUUUCUGUCUGACUCCAUGAGAUAACCUGGGAGGGAGGUUGGCUUUGAGGACAGCAGAGCCACCAGUAUGACAGACCCCUGUUCACCUUCCUUGCAUCCCCCUGAAGCACACCCCACCCAGGCCUCAGGGACAGGGACAUCCACCAUAUCCAACUCAUUCUUCAGCCAAGGAGUGGUUCAAGUCAAUAGAGCCCAGACACGAGGCUACCAACCUGGAAUUCAACUUCCUGGGCUUGGGCUCUACCAUGAAACAGGUGGACGGGGAGCUCCAGUACCCGGGUGCUGGAUGCCUGUGGCUCUACCCCAGCCUGACUGUGCUGCAGAACCGCAUCAACCUCAGCUGGAUGGAAGGCUUCAGCUGCUGCGUCUUCUACAGGAAGCUGAGGGAGGUUUGCCUCAGGAACGACACCAGGAAGCUCCACGAGAGGGUGCUAGUGAGUAGUGGUGCCAAGAAACAGCUGAGUACCCCACAUGCAGGGCAGACCUGGGCCUUGCUAGAGGGGGUAGGAGUUGAGAUGGAAUGGGACCAGAAAUCAGCUCUGGCAUUUUGGACAAACCAGAUUUUAUUUUCCCUUGGGGGCCCCCAAACUGUCCCUUUUUCUUAUCCCUCGAGGCACACUGGCCCAUUAUCCAGAUAAUUAUCAUUUUUUGCAAAAAACAUUAUUUAGGCAGGCCCACUAGAAUACAAAUGAACCAGCCCAUCUUGCAUUUGCCCGAAAUGCCAGAAGGCCAGUCCGCCCCGGGUAGGAGUGGAGGGCAGACAAGUUAGAAGCAGGGGGAUCAGGCUCCUGGAGCUGGAGGAAGGAAGGAGGAAGGGACAACACCCAGCCAGAGGUUGACUCAGGAGUUGGUGGAGACAACAAGAAGGAACAGCGCCUUUCACAAGUGGCUGAAUGAGAUUGACGGUUACCCCAUCCCUGAUGUCACCCUGUUGCCAGAGAGAGCAUUAAAAGCAUCCAUCUUUUUGAUUCCUCAGUUUCACUGAAUGAGAAAGAUUAUUGGCAUUGAAUUUCUCGGUUGCAAGGUGUAAUUGCUGUCCUGGAGGAUUUGCUCUGGGACGGUGGGACUUGUAUGUUGUUGUUUUUUCACAAGAAGAUCAGUUGCUGUCUGUGUGAAUUCAAAUCCCAUCACUGCUGACCAGAGCUAAAUAGUACAGUUCUGGCCUCGUGAGCAUGUACCCUCCUCAUACCAGAUCCUGGCCAACACUUUAUUCUUUUCUCCAUCUGUUUCUCAUUCUGCUCAAUUGAAUGUAUGAGUCACUCAACUGAACAACAUUAACAUAUUUGGACUUACAGGAUUUGAAAAGUGUUUUAGAAAAUAAUUUGCCCACUGCGGAAUUAAUUAUUCUAGUCUAUUAAUCUUAUCUACUGUAGAGGAGGCAGAGUGGAUAAGGAGCUGUGGAAUCAACCAAGCUCAAAGCCCAGGCAUCCAAGUAUAGGAGCUUCAGAUAAUGUUCAUUUAAGAGAGCACAACGUUAAUUUUCCUCAGAUAUGAGAUGUAGGCCUAUCCAGCUGUAGGAAGAUUUUUCAAGCAUAAUUCAUCACUGACACAAUUUAAUGAUUGGUUUAUAAAAUGACAAACAACUGUUUGUUUAAGCAGCUAUGCAUUACAUUGCUGAUGGUGGCAACUUUAGAAUAUUUUUCCUUUUACUGGGUGUUAAAAGGCAAUGUUGCUAUCAUUUUUCAUGGGUACAUUACCCACAAUAUCCUCUAGCCACUUGGAAAAAUAUGUUGUACCAAGCCUGCAUCUGAGCCUGCAGUGUAUUCCUACAACAUCCUGUAAAAUGGUCAAUGUGGCACCACAGAGACACACAUCCAAUGGGGUUUUAAAAGCACAGUGAGUGGUCACAGACUACAGCCGAGGUACCUGUCACACAGAGAGGGAGAGAGAGAGAGAGGGGGAAAAAAUAACAAUAUCCUCAGUGCAGUAGGUAGGGGGUGUUGAUGAGCAUGGGGUUGGGUGGGUGUGGGCAGGGGGUCCCGGUGCCCAGCCAGUAGCCAAGGUAUCAACCUUUUCCAAAGGAGGUGAUCGAUAAGGCUCAUCGCUGGGGGACACCGGAACAUUCUCAGCUGAGGGGGAGAGGAGGAAGGCAGGAAGCUCACACAAACAGUCAGAGAUGAGGAAGUGCUAAUUGCCUGUGGAUGCUAAGAAGGGACCCCCGCUGGGCCUGUCCUGGUGGUAUGACCCAGGGCUUAUUGAGUUCUGGGGGGGUCAGACAGAAUGGUUCUGAAGGUGGUGUUUAUUUACAGGGGCAGAAGAUGAGCUAGCUCAAAGGACAUUUACAAGAUGCUGACAAACACUAACAUAGAUAGUAGACUUACAAGAUAACGAACAAUAAUCUAAAUGGCCAAUUACUAAAGCUACGACUGGGGCCUUUAAUCUAGGCAGAGCACCUUUAAACUAGGCAGAGGACCUUUAAACUAGGCAGAGCACUUUUAAACUAGGCAGAGAACCUAUAACACUGAGUUUAGAUAAAUCCUCACAGCUGAGUUUAAGAGAGCCCUGGGACAACAUGUCCCUCCAGCCUAAAUUAUCCUCAAAAUGAGCAACCUGAACAGGUUAGAAGUCCAAACAAGUAUUUCAUCAAAUAACAUUAUAAUCAAUAUUUUGAACAGACAUAAUAUCACAUAAACAAAUAUAGAUAUUAGGUGGGAAAAAUGACAUAGAUAAAAUGUUCUAGUUACUGAGCACACGCACCUGCUGGAUAACUAUAACUAACUAUAACUAAAUCUGAGGCCUGCACCAGACCCUAACCUGCUAAUAUAGAAAAUGCGCUGUAGGCUAAAGUCAGACAGCGAAACUAUUUUUUGACAGGGGGUGCAGGCCAUUUUUUGACAGGGGGUGCAGGCCAUUUUUUGACAGGGGUGCAGGCCAUUUUUUGACAGGGGGUGCAGGCCAUUUUUUGACAGGGGGUGCAGGCCAUUUUUUGACAGGGGGUGCAGGCCAUUUUUUUGACAAGGGGUGCAGGCAAUUUUUUUUGCCUGAUUUAGAUAUGUAUCUGCUUUUAAUUUCUGACAUUUUGGACUAUUUGUUAGUCAACUUGGCUAUAAUUAGAUGCAUGCAGCUUCUCUUCUGUCAUUAUAUGUUGCCCUAGAAGACUAAAGAAACUCUUGCUCACCAGAAUGUCAUAAAUGAAUGCUUCAAUCUAGUUGACAUCGGUAAGGUUUUCUCUGUCAUCUCUGGAUCUUUCACUUAGCAAAGAUGUUUAGGGACUGAAGUCAAAUGUAAAAAUGUAACAACCAAAAAAGGAAAGAUUUGCUGUGCAAAUGACAUCAGUUUGACCGGUUGUAAGGAAAUAGAAAACUGUAAAAAUGACCCAACAUGUUUCUGAUAGAUUUCAGUUCUGCUUGGAUGCAUAUUUUAUGUGGUUGAAAUACUAUCAGCUUUUAUGAUGCUGAUAAAGAUCACGCCACUACAGACAGUAUCUAACUGCCAUUUGCAUUCUCUCAAAAUGCUGAAAGAAAAAAAUCAUAUUUCUUCUGUUCCCGAGCCAAAAUUUAGCCUACAUUUGGUGUAUCAUUGUACUGCAAGAAAUGCUUAAUUCUGCAGGAGUUAAUAAAGGCUACCUGAGAGGUUACAGACCUACAGUCAGUGUCCAGAUUUCAGUUUCCAUUGAACCCAUCUGAACAGUAGGCUACAGUUCCCUUGAUGUGCCAUAGGCCUAUAUGAAGUCUCAGUCCUGUCACUGUGG
ensembl:lncRNA